rnacentral:rRNA from 1 species
UACGGAGGAUGCGAGCGUUAUCCGGAAUCAUUGGGUUUAAAGGGUGCGUAGGCUGGUAUUUAAGUCAGUGGUGAAAUUUUCGUGCUUAGCAUGAGAGCUGCCAUUGAUACUGGGUACCUAGAGUGUAUUUGAUGUGGGCGGAAUGUGUUGUGUAGCGGUGAAAUGCUUAGAUAUGACACAGAACACCGAUAGCGAAGGCAGCUCACAAAGUUACAACUGACGCUGAUGCACGAAAGCGUGGGGAUCAAACAGG